rnacentral:rRNA from 1 species
UUAACAGGAUUAGAUACCCUGGUAGUCCACGCCGUAAACGAUGCUCACUCGCUGUAUGCGAUACACAGUAUGCGGCCAAGCGAAAGCAUUAAGUGAGCCACCUGGGGAGUACGUCGGCAACGGUGAAACUCAAAGGAAUUGACGGGGGCCCGCACAAGCGGAGGAACAUGUGGUUUAAUUCGAUGAUACGCGAGGAACCUUACCUGGGCUUAAAUGUAGGUUGACAGGACCUGAAAGGGUUUUUUCUUCGGACAACUUACAAGGUGCUGCAUGGUUGUCGUCAGCUCGUGCCGUGAGGUGUCGGGUUAAGUCCCAUAACGAGCGCAACCCUUACCGUUAGUUACCAUCAGUUUGGCUGGGGACUCUAGCGGGACUGCCACCGUAAGGUGAGAGGAAGGUGGGGAUGACGUA